CCUACGGGUGGCACCAGUGAGGAAUAUUGGUCAAUGGACGAGAGUCUGAACCAGCCAAGUAGCGUGAAGGAUGACAGCCCUAUGGGUUGUAAACUUCUUUUAUAUGGGAAUAAAAUGUUUCACGUGUGGGAUUUUGUAUGUACCAUAUGAAUAAGGAUCGGCUAACUCCGUGACAGCAGCCGCGGUAAUACGGAGGAUCCGAGCGUUAUCCGGAGUUAUUGGGUUUAAAGGGAGCGUAGGUGGAUUGUUAAGUCAGUUGUGAAAGUUUGCGGCUCAACCGUAAAAUUGCAGUUGACACUGGCAGUCUGGAGUACAGUAGAGGUGGGCGGAAUUCGUGGUGUAGCGGUGAAAUGCUUAGAUAUCACGAAGAACUCCGAUUGCGAAGGCAGCUCACUGGACUGCAACUGACACUGAGGCUCGAAAGUGUGGGUAUCAAACAGGAUUAGAUACCCGAGUAGUC
rnacentral:rRNA from 1 species